UUUGGAGUCCAUGGCUGUGUUGGUGUCAUUUGUUCUUGAAAGUUAAGCAGAUGCAGGCCUGGGAUAUAUUUUGGUGAGGGACCACCUGGGAAUCACAGAAGCCAUAU
rnacentral:rRNA from 1 species